CCUACGGGAGGCAGCAGUGGGGAAUAUUGGACAAUGGGGGCAACCCUGAUCCAGCAAUGCCGCGUGUGUGAAGAAGGCCUGAGGGUUGUAAAGCACUUUCAGUGGGGAGGAGGAUACUUAGGUUAAGAGCUAGAGUAUUGGACGUUACCCACAGAAGAAGCACCGGCUAACUCCGUGCCAGCAGCCGCGGUAAUACGGAGGGUGCGAGCGUUAAUCGGAAUUACUGGGCGUAAAGGGUGCGUAGGUGGUUGAUUAAGUUAUCUGUGAAAUCCCCGGGCUCAACCUGGGCAGGUCAGAUAAUACUGAUUGACUCGAGUAUAGGAGAGGGUAGUGGAAUUUCCGGUGUAGCGGUGAAAUGCGUAGAGAUCGGAAGGAACACCAGUGGCGAAGGCGGCUACCUGGCCUAAUACUGACACUGAGGCACGAAAGCGUGGGGAGCAAACAGGAUUAGAUACCCUGGUAGUCCACGCUGUAAACGAUGUACAACUAGCUGUUGGUUAUAUGAAUAUAAUUAGUGGCGCAGCAAACGCGAUAAGUUGACCGCCUGGGGAGUACGGUCGCGAAGAUUAAAAACUAGAAAGUUAGUGGACGUGAGAGAGACGACGACGACGACGAGGAGGAGGAG
rnacentral:rRNA from 1 species